rnacentral:rRNA from 1 species
AGGCCUAACACAUGCAAGUCGAGCGGAAACGACACUAACAAUCCUUCGGGUGCGUUAAUGGGCGUCGAGCGGCGGACGGGUGAGUAAUGCCUAGGAAAUUGCCUUGAUGUGGGGGAUAACCAUUGGAAACGAUGGCUAAUACCGCAUAAUGCCUACGGGCCAAAGAGGGGGACCUUCGGGCCUCUCGCGUCAAGAUAUGCCUAGGUGGGAUUAGCUAGUUGGUGAGGUAAUGGCUCACCAAGGCGACGAUCCCUAGCUGGUCUGAGAGGAUGAUCAGCCACACUGGAACUGAGACACGGUCCAGACUCCUACGGGAGGCAGCAGUGGGGAAUAUUGCACAAUGGGCGAAAGCCUGAUGCAGCCAUGCCGCGUGUAUGAAGAAGGCCUUCGGGUUGUAAAGUACUUUCAGUUGUGAGGAAGGGGGUAGCGUUAAUAGCGCUAUCUCUUGACGUUAGCAACAGAAGAAGCACCGGCUAACUCCGUGCCAGCAGCCGCGGUAAUACGGAGGGUGCGAGCGUUAAUCGGAAUUACUGGGCGUAAAGCGCAUGCAGGUGGUUCAUUAAGUCAGAUGUGAAAGCCCGGGGCUCAACCUCGGAACUGCAUUUUGAAACUGGUGAACU